CUUUUUCUUCGUAACUUCAUGGCAACAUGACCUACAGUUACUCAUUUUUCAGGCCUGAGUUGAUCGUUAAUCAUCUUAAUUAUGUUCAUUCUGAAGCCAACAGGAGAACCAAGACCAAAACUUUAUUGUCUCUGCUUUCAUUUCUUGAUGAAACCUCUGGACUAAGCACACAUCUUCCUUGUUUAUCUCUCUCAAAGGAGUGUGGAGUGCUUCAUCUGGACAUCCACGGGAAGAAGGAAGACAUGAGGUAGGUGGUGUCCUUGUGUUCAAGUCAAUAAGGAAGAAAAUGUUGUGAACAAACAGUGCUAUGAAGUAAAGGAAGGAAACUCCCUGGCAGGCAUGCAGCCAUACCUCUCUCAGGACACUUGCACUUGGGAGUAGACACAGGCUGUUGGUUCAGAGAGGAAGAGUUGAUCUUUUUACAGUUAACAUGUCCCUGAAAUGAAUCCAUCUUCUCUAAGGAUCGCCAUUCCUGCCAUGGUUUUGGAAUUCGUAAGCUCUUCCUUAGGCAGAUGUUCUCAAACUCUAGUCUCAGAGCCUCUUCACUCAGCGAUUAUCGAGAACCCCAAACAGCUUUUAUUUAUGUAGAUUAUUAGUGAUGAUAUUAGAAAUUAAAAUGGUUCACACCUGUAAUUCCAGCACUUU
rnacentral:lncRNA from 1 species